GCCUGUUUAUCAAAAACAUGUCUUUUUGAUAAUAAUUUAAAGUCUAAUCUGCCCACUGAUAAAUAUUAAAGGGCUGCAGUAUUUUGACUGUACAAAGGUAGCAUAAUCAUUAGUCUUUUAAUUGGUGACUUGUAUGAAAGAUUGGAUGAGAUAUAAACUGUCUUAAAAAUAAUUUAUUGAAAUUAAUUUUUUAAUUAAAAAGUUAAGAUAUAUUAAAAAGACGAGAAGACCCUAUAGAGUUUUAUAUUAAUUUAAAUUUUAAUUAUAUAUAAAUAUAAUAGUUAUAAAUUUAAAUUAAUAUUUUAUUGGGGUGAUAAAAAAAUAAGAAAAACUUUUUUUAAAAAUAGCCAUAAAUAAGUGAUUUAUUGAUCCAAUUAUAUUGAUUAAAAGAAAAAAUUACCUUAGGGAUAACAGCGUAAUUUUUUUUUUUAGUUCAUAUAAGAAAAAAAGUUUGCGACCUCGAUGUUGGAUUAAGAUAAAAUUUAA
rnacentral:rRNA from 1 species